rnacentral:misc_RNA from 1 species
GAAAUGCGAUAAGUAAUGUGAAUUGCAGAAUUCAGUGAAUCAUCGAAUCUUUGAACGCACCUUGCGCUCCUUGGUAUUCCUUGGAGCAUGCCUGUUUGAGUAUCAUGAAAUCUUCAAAGUAAAUCUUUUGUUAACUCAAUUGGUUUCUACUUUGGUAUUGGAGGUCUUUGCAGCUUCACACCUGCUCCUCUUUGUUCAUUAGCUGGAUCUCAGUGUUAUGCUUGGUUCCACUCGGCGUGAUAAGUUAUCUAUCGCUGAGGACACUGUAAAAGGUGGCCAAGGUAAAUGCAGACGAACUGCUUCUAAUAGUCCAUUGACUUGGACAAUACUUUUAUGAUCUGAUCUCAAAUCAGGUAGGACUACCCGCUGAACUUAAGC